CCAGCAGUGCUCACUGUGGCAGCAGUAAACUUGGAAUGAUACAGAGAAGAUUAGCAAGGCCUCCUCACAAGGAUGACAUGCAGGUUUGUGAAGCGUUCCAUAUUUUU
ensembl:snRNA U6 U6 spliceosomal RNA